UUGGAGACUUGGUUCGAUUCAGAAAUUUUCAAGCUCGGAUACAAGAGUAUGUUGAAGCUACAAGCUUCUGUCAAUUCUGGAGGGGCUUUUGAAUGGCCAGGUUUUGCAGCUUUAACAGCUUUAAGAUGAGAGCAACCCAGAUUUUGUUGUGGAAGCGGUGUAUCUGUUCUUUGAUGAUUCUGAGAAGCUUCUGAAUUAUAUCACCAGAGCUCUG